rnacentral:rRNA from 1 species
AUGGGGUGCAGCAGGGGCGAAAUCUUCACAAUGUGCGAAAGCACGAUGAGGGGAUCCCAAGUGCUGGCACGUAAGUGUCAGCUGUUUCUUAGUCUAAAAAACUGAGAGAGUAAGGGCUGGGUAAGACGGGUGCCAGCCGCCGCGGUAAUACCUGCAGCUCAAGUGGUGGCCGCUAUUAUUGGGCCUAAAACGUCCGUAGCCUGUUUAGUAAAUGCUUGGGUAAAUUGUGUAGCUUAACUAUACGAAUACCGAGUAGACUGCUAAACUUGGGACCGGGAGAGGCUAGAGGUACUCCUGGGGUAGAGGUGAAAUUCUGUAAUCCUAGGGGGACCACCAGUGGCGAAGGCGUCUAGCUAGAACGGGUCUGGCGGUGAGGAACGAAGCCCUGGGGCGCAAACCGGAUUAGAUACCCGGGUAGUCCAGGGUGUAAACGCUGCUUGCUUGAUGUUAGUUGGGCUCCGAGCCCAAUUAGUGUCGGAGAGAAGUUGUUAAGCAAGCUGCCUGGGAAGUACGAUCGCAAGAUUGAAACUUAAAGGAAUUGGCGGGGGAGCAC